rnacentral:lncRNA from 1 species
AGCUAAAAUUCAUGAAUGGAUGAAAAACAAUCUUAUUUUACAAUAACACAUAAAUAAUAUUUAUAUAUACAUUAUCACAUUACAAAAUAAUAAUAUAAUCAAUUCAAAUGUUUGGAAAAUUAAAAAAAAAAAUGUUUGGAAAAUUUAGUUGAUACUAGAGGUAUAUAUGUAGUAUGGUGAAAAUCAAUAUAUGUUUGAGUGUAUCUUCGUGGUUUCCUUAACGAGCAAUUCAUUUAAUCAAUUGAAGUUUUCGAAAAGACUGUAAGAAGAUAAUAUUUUGACUUUAAUUAGUAUGAAUAAACAAAUAUAAGUUUAAUUGGAGAAUGGAGACCUUACCAAUGUGUUAAUUAACAAUACAAACUUUUGGACAAGGUUAAAUGAGCUGUGUAGGCAUGGAGUUCACAUCACAAAGGCAGGCUCCCAAGCAAAAAAAUAAUUCCUGUUAAUGUUAUGGUAUGUUAGCAAGCUUAUGGGAUACCUAGUGACAACAAUUGUUUGAACACUGUCGAAAGAAGUUACCUGCAUGGAUGCAUUUUUUUUUUGGUAAAAUGAUCAAAAAAUACAAUGUACUUUCACAAAUUUUUCAUUUUAUACAAUGUACUAAAAAUCACGCCAAAAUAUCAAUGUACUUUAAAAAAUAUUUCACGUUAUACAAUCUGUCUAAAACUAACUAACGGACUGCUUACGUGGCCAAUAAUUAUCUACAUGUAUUUUUAUUUUUUUUAAAUAAAUGCUGAUUGUAAAAUUAAAACCAACACAUCUACUUUAAAACAUGUCAUCAUCAACAAAUGUUUACAUCUAAACGAUCUAUUAAUCCCAAGAUGUUAGUGAUAUAGAUGUAUUACUCCAUUACAUCGAAACCCCCUAAAUCAACAUUUCUUCCAUCUCUCUUUCUCAUAGCAAAUGUGAACCCUAAAUCUUCUCUUUAAUUCUUCAAACCCUAAUUUUAAUUAAUCAUUUUCUCACAACUAAAACCUCAAUAAAACACUGAUGUAUGAUGAAUUGGUGAAUCUCAAGAAAGAAUCGGUGUGGAACAAUCUUGUUGUGUGUAAAAGAAAAAUCCUCUUUCUAGUAAAUAAUAACUAGUAGUUAGUUUAACACUAAAAGAUGAAGACACAAAAGCUAGGGUUUGAAAUUGAAUUGGAGAUUUGAAUUUGGGAUUUACAGAUUUAUGGAUUUUUACAUUUGUUGAAUUCAAUUGUUAAAAUAGGGAAGAAAAAGGUCAAUCAUGUGAGAAACAUGUGCCUCAUUUGAUGUGUUGGAAAUGUUGUUUAAUUUAUUUUUUUUUAAAAAUACACGUAGAUAAUUAUUGGCCACGUAAGCAAUCCGUUACCUAGUUUUGGGCAGAUUGUAUAACGUGAAAUUUUUUUCAAAGUAUAUUGAUAUUUUGGCAUGAUUUUUAGCACAUUGUAUAAAGUGAAAAAUUUGUGAAAGUACGUUGUAUUUUUUGAUCAUUUUACUUUUUUUUUAUUACUAAAUUGUAAAACAACGGAGAUAGAAACAGUACAUUCUCAGGAGAUGUUAUUGGUCCCUCCAGCAUUACAUACUAUUUAUACAUAACGUAAAGAUUUCAUCUGAUGUUGCUACCUAGAACCGGCAUCUGUUUCCUUUGCUGCUGCCUCUUCUUGAAGCUUCUUCGUCCAGUACUCAUCAAGGGGAGGCCCAAAUAUUGCCUUGCCCGAAACAACUCCAAUCCUACACAAUGAAAUCAGUCAUUUAUCAACAAAUCAUAUUAGUACUAUAUUUGGUCUCACCAACCACACUUGUAUAAUUUUAUUGUAGCAUUCACUUGUGAAAGUUUUAUUUUAGCAAACACUUCUAUAAGCAUAUUGAGCUAAUUAAUAAUGAAUGGAAAAGACCAAAAAAUAGCUGCUGAGAGCAUAGUUUCCCAUUAUUACCAGGCCAAACUUCAGCAAUUCAACUUUACAUAUACAACCAUGACAGCGUUUAGCAGAAGUCUCUCAAAGCACAUACGAUUUACAAAAGACACCUCUGGUCCUCCACUUCCUACAUUAAUAAUCAUAAUCUUACGAGUGUAAGUGCCAUUCCUAUUUAUCAAGUGGUCAAAAGAACAUUAGCAUAAUUUGAUCCUUUUCAGUAAGGUACCAUUUAUCAAGAUACAUUCUAAUUAAUAAACCUUUCUUCAUUCGAUUUAAAUCUGGUAAUACUGCUCUCUUUGGUGAAGUUAUUUAUGUCAGACAAAAUUCGCAAAGGAAGGAUGUCAUCAUAUCAUCACUAUUCCGCAUAGGCACCUCAGAUGAGGGCCUUUUCACUAACUCUGCUCCUCAAUUCUUAUUUGAGGUACAACUUGAAUUGACAAGUAUCCGAAGCUUUGCACACUUCCUUCAAUAACCUUGAAACUGGUCUAUGUUCAUGUUAUCUAGAUGCUAAGCUAUUCUACUUCUUGAGUUGACUAAGUUUAAGACGACUAAUGAGAUAUUUCUGUUCAAUUGAAAUCUAUGAUCAAGGCAUAAUCAUCUGCAAGGUCAUGAUUAUGUCAAGCAAAACCCUGAAGUAGUAGUAGUCUAAACACUGGUUCUCAUUUAUAUAAUUAUGGUUCAAGUAAAGUUGGAUGAUAAUGUGACAUUAAGAAAGUACAGAAAGAAAGACUUAUUUCUUAUAGAUAAUAUCUGCAAGUGGACCACAACAACUCACAGAAGAAACACAACUAUUGUCUCAAACGUCCAAUGAAAUUGUCAACACCUUACACACUUGGGAGGAUGAAAGCUAAAACCAAACAUCAAACAAACUCACGAAGUUACAACUAGAAAAUUGUUUAUGUACCAGGACUCUCAGGCCUCACGAACAAGUUUAUGUAUAUUACUAAUGCAAAUCAGGCCCCUGGUGGUUGUACCAGGAGGUUUUGGAUUCGAUCUCAGUUACUUUUGGGGUAGGGUUCUAUUUUCAUUUCUUUGUCACCUAGUUGCUUAGUUUGUGAAGAAAGAAUGUCUAUUACAAGUAUUAAAGAAAAAAUUACAAAUUGAACUAGAAGCAAUGUGACCUUAGCAAUGAAAGAAUAUGCAAACUACACCAGCUAUCAACCAGCCAAAAUACUGAAGUUCUUUAAAGUAGGAAAAUCACACACCACCACCUCUCAGAUAUUUUCUUUUUCCUCCAUGUGUCUAUAUAAAUAGAGUUGCAAAAAAUACCAAGAAACUAGCUGAUCAAGAAAUGAGCCCCUUGCCGACAAUGACGUAAAUGGGAAUUUAUCCCAAGACGGCAACCUAAUACAACCACCAGGAGCCUGACCAUCUGGCCUGCUGGACAGUGACACCAACUAAUAUAUUCUAAAGCAUAUUAUUUCUGUUAUUGGUUGAAUAAGCAGAAGCAUGAAAGACAAGGUUGGCCUACGAAGGCAGCAAUUUAAACAUCCUGAGUGAAAAGGAAAGUUCAAAUGCGAGCCCAAUAGCUUGAAAAGUGGAAUCCAGAAUUUCCCUGUGAAUCUAGGAUCUCUGUCACUGAUAAUGUUUGUCGGCACACCCCAAUAUUUGAUGAUGUGUUUGACAAGUUGCUUAACGAUCAAACAAUACUAGCCUCGUAACUCUAUUAAAUGCAGCCAUUUAACUGUAUCAAAUCUCCCUCUACAACUCACUUGUUCCUUAAAAACUGUGAUUUGCAUGAGGCACAAACCCUAAAUAAUUUUCCCUUCCCCGCACCAACAUUGCCAAGCAUCAAAAGAAGUGAUUAGUAGACAUGAUUCCCAGCUGAUCCAUUGUUGAACAAAUACUCAACUAGAUUCUAUAUGCCCACCACAAACAGCCUCCCCUAAUACCUGGAGUGCCCCCUUCGUUGAGUUGGAAGGAUCGGUUGGGCCUUUACUUGCCCGCACAGAUCAAGACUUGCUUCAUGGAAAUAAGGGCCUGUUUGUUAACGGCAAAUAUGCAUUUGCUCACUCAUUUGGUGGUUGCCACCGUUUAAUAACAAACGUGGAGGUUUGGGAACUUUUUACUACUGCAACCGCACGUGACCCGAUUUGCCUAAAAAUCUGAACAAAGUUUGCCUAGCCCCACGUAGAAUUUUCUUUCUUGAAUCUCCACAAAAUAAAUGUCUCGUAAAUAAGCCCUAAACAACAUAUAAAAACACACGUAACUUGAUCUAAACAAGCAUCUCUUAUAUUACCAGGCAAAUAUUUGGUGGGGUUCAGCCAAGGCAAAUAUUGUGUGGAAAUGCCAAAGAAAAUUUGUUAAUGUUUUAAGGCAAAACUGGUCAUGUGCAGGUGCCUCGACAAAAGGUUGUCUAAUUUCUACAUGCACUAUCCAACGUAUAAACACCAAUAAAACAGGCAAAACACACUUGCUGCAGGAAAAUCGCUAUCACAUGGGCCCUUAUUGAAGCAUAUUGUUGGCAACUUAUCCAAGUCCAAACUCCUUGUGCCAAAAUCACAAUAUUAUCCCAAAAGUUCAUUAACGUUUCUGCAAGCUCAUUCAGUUCACCUUUACCAAUAAGGAAGCAAGCAAUUGUACAAGAUAACUUGGCAUGCUCUUAUCAAACUGGUGAAAGAUAUGCUAUCAUGGGUUGAUCAUUAAACCUCAACACUGCACAUCCUACUUCCAUUUGAGCAGUUAAAAUGUGAAAUCCCGAUUACUCCAGAUUCAUUGCUACUCAGAGGUUGCCGGUUAGUAAAAUGGUGAUUAACAAAUCUCAACUCGUCGAGUAAUUUAAUCAUUUAAUAUUUUAAUCAGUAUAAUCAGCCGACUAUUCUUAUUAAUCACCCUACUAUUUGUCCGAUUAAUUGGUAAUCGAUGGCAACGUACAUGUAGAAAAAGGAUCAAUAUUAUUCUUCUCUUCUUCAUCCCUACUUUUUUGUUCUACUCUUCACCUCUUAACAAACAAAGUCUAGGGCUAACAGCUGCAGCUCUCUUUGUCAUGAUUGAACUUGAAAUUUGACAAAUUUGUGGAGCAGAUGUGUUCUAUCAAAAAAUAUUGAACAUUCCAUAAAAAAAAAGGAAGAAACAAAAGAAUCCAAAGAAGGGAACAUAGGCUAGACUGGAGGACUUUAAUCUUAGAAAACAUUUAUAUAAAAACAACCACAGUUUGUUGUAGUGCGUAAGAACAAAGAUUGAAAAUGAAGAAUACAUAUAGAUUUAUACAUUCAUAUUAUUUUGCAGCAUCCGAAUAAAUCUUAGGUUAUUUAUUUCUUAGUUGAAUAAAACUUUUAUUAAUUUGAAAAAGAAGUUUACAAACAGCUAAAAGAGGUUAAUCGGCUAAAAAAUGAUUUAAACAGCCAGAGUUCAUACCUGGUAAAGCACACAUCUUGGGUGUUACUGUAGAAACCAUUAAUGACAUCAAUCCAUCAUCGAUGAGAAUGACAGAAAAUUUCCACUUAUAGUGGACCAUAGGCUUAGCUAGAUCAUGUAAUAAACACUGAUCGUCGAACGAUGUACUACUAGUGGUUUCAAUUAGACCAAUCAAUUUGUUAUCAUUCAAGAAUCACGACUGGGGUUAUGGGCAGAUUAAGCCACACCAACAUGUUUCUAGGCCAGGAAGUGAUGAAAGUGUAAUCGAGUGAAUUUGGUGUUUAUAGUUGGACGUAAAACUUCAAGGGAAUAACAUUGAAAAAACGUGUUAAUUAUGCUUAUAAUAGAAUUAGGCUUCAUAUAUACAGUUUGAAACUCAUACACUUAUAUCCAUCUCAUAUAUUUCUCAUCUUGUGACAAAAGCCUAUGGAAGGGUUUCGAGGUAUCAUAUUAUUGACGUCAAUGGCUUCAAGUGCAUAUCAAAUUUUUCUUUUGCUUCUUUCAUCGGACUUGAGAAUUCGCUUUGAGAUUAUGUUGAGAAAUCCUAUAGGUAAUAUUAGGGCCAAAUUUUAGUUGUAUGAUUUCUAAAUAAAUUCUAUAACCAAAUCUCAAAUUGAAGUAAAGAACCAAACUAGAAACCAACACGUAUUUAACCAUUGAUAUUUUCAACUUAAGAAGUGAUCCUCAGAAUGCUACAAAUGGUUUGGACUGAAAACUUGACCUUAUACUUUAAACUUUUCUCAUUUGAAAUGAGAAAUAUAUAAGAUGGGGAGCAUGGUUUGGACUGAAAACUUAACCUUAUAUAUAGAACAUGAAUUCUACUAUUAGGCUAUCAUACACAGUAAAUUGUUGUUAUUACGCCCUUCAAAUCUGACACUUAAGCCUGAAUAAGCUCAUACUCACUCAAUACACAUGUCACUACUUAAACAUUUAACUAUGGCUAAUCUUUGAACCGAGCAAUUCGAUAUUGAGCAUGCUCAACUCGUUCUUUGUUGAGGGUAAAGUCUAUGCUCAGCUCAAAUUGCAAACUGACAAGCUUGAGCAAGUCAGAAAUAAGUCGAUGUAAAGCAGCUCUGUUCAUAUACAAAUAGGUGUGGUAUUCAAAUUAAGACAAAGUGAGCUUUAAUAUGCCUAAGCUUCACCAAUAUUGCAGACUUGAGCAAGCUAGAAACAUGUUGACCCGAAGUAGCUAGUCUGGUUCCUUACCAACCCUACAUGUUAAAAUGUUGUGGACACAGUCAUGUUUAAGCACCGAUCACGCGAUUUUAUUAACAAUGUGACUCCAUGACCAAUGUAGGUCGACAGAUGGCAAAAUAAAUUCAAACAUAAAUUUCUCAUAGCUGAGGCCUGAGGAAAGGCAUGCAAGGUUCACCCAUACAUCCAUCCUAUUCUAAUUACGACACCAUCGGAAUCUCCUUGGGUUAUUGCAGCCAUUUUGCGCGAUAUCAAAAUUUUACAUGGCCAACUGAUUGAUGUAUACAUUAUUUUCCAAUUAAUUUUCUCGAUUUUUUGUCGAAUAAUGGAUUAAGUAAAGUAUGAAAUUUAACAAAUAGACAAAGCACACAUCUAAAUCAACAUGAAAAUAGACAUACAACAAAGCAUCAAACCACAAUAACAAGAAAUUGGAAAAAAAAAAAAAAAAAAAAAAUUAAUGAAAAGAAGGGAACUCACACGACUGCUCCAAUAACCAAAGGCAGCGAUAGAAACCUUCUUCUAAACAUUUCUUCCCAACAGAAAGACUUCCUUCUUCUUCUUUCUUCUUUCUUCUUUCUUCUUGCUUGCUUGUUGGAAACUUGGAAUGAACUUUAGCUUAGGUUUCCGGCCG